rnacentral:rRNA from 1 species
AUUGAACGCUGGCGGCAGGCCUAACACAUGCAAGUCGAGCGGAUGAAGGGAGCUUGCUCCUGGAUUCAGCGUCGGACGGGUGAGUAAUGCCUAUGAAUCUGCCUGGUAGUGGGGGAUAACGUCCGGAAACGGGCGCUAAUACCGCAUACGUCCUGAGCGAGAAAGUGGGGGAUCUUCGGACCCCACGCUAUCAGAUGAUCCUAGGUCGGAUUAGCUAGUUGGUGGGGUAAAGGCCUACCAAGGCGACGAUCCGUAACUGGUCUGAGAGGAUGAUCAGUCACACUGGAACUGAGACACGGUCCAGACUCCUACGGGAGGCAGCAGUGGGGAAUAUUGGACAAUGGGCGAAAGCCUGAUCCAGCCAUGCCGCGUGUGUGAAGAAGGUCUUCGGAUUGUAAAGCACUUUAAGUUGGGAGGAAGGGCAGUAAGUUAAUACCUUGCUGUUUUGACGUUACCAACAGGAUAAGCACCGGCUAACUUCGUG